rnacentral:rRNA from 1 species
GCUUGCUGGGUGGAUUAGUGGCGAACGGGUGAGUAACACGUGAGUAACCUGCCCUUGACUCUGGGAUAAGCGUUGGAAACGACGUCUAAUACCGGAUACUAGCUUCCACCGCAUGGUGAGUUGCUGGAAAGAAUUUUGGUCAAGGAUGGACUCGCGGCCUAUCAUCUUGUUGGUGAGGUAACGGCUCACCAAGGCGACGACGGGUAGCCGGCCUGAGAGGGUGACCGGCCACACUGGGACUGAGACACGGCCCAGACUCCUACGGGAGGCAGCAGUGGGGAAUAUUGCACAAUGGGCGAAAGCCUGAUGCACCAACGCCGCGUGAGGGACGACGGCCUUCAGGUUGUAAACCUCUUUUAGCAGGGAAGAAGCGAAAGUGACGGUACCUGCAGAAAAAGCACCGGCUAACUACGUGCCAGCAGCCGCGGUAAUACGUAGGGUGCAAGCGUUGUCCGGAAUUAUUGGGCGUAAAGAGCUCGUAGGCGGUUUGUCGCGUCUGCUGUGAAAUCCCGAGGCUCAACCUCGGGUCUGCAGUGGGUACGGGCAGACUAGAGUGCGGUAGGGGAGAUUGGAAUUCCUGGUGUAGCGGUGGAAUGCGCAGAUAUCAGGAGGAACACCGAUGGCGAAGGCAGAUCUCUGGGCCGCUACUGACGCUGAGGAGCGAAAGGGUGGGGAGCAAACAGGCUUAGAUACCCUGGUAGUCCACCCCGUAAACGUUGGGCGCUAGAUGUGGGGACCAUUCCACGGUUUCCGUGUCGUAGCUAACGCAUUAAGCGCCCCGCCUGGGGAGUACGGCCGCAAGGCUAAAACUCAAAGGAAUUGACGGGGGCCCGCACAAGCGGCGGAGCAUGCGGAUUAAUUCGAUGCAACGCGAAGAACCUUACCAAGGCUUGACAUAUACGAGAACGGGCCAGAAAUGGUCAACUCUUUGGACACUCGUAAACAGGUGGUGCAUGGUUGUCGUCAGCUCGUGUCGUGAGAUGUUGGGUUAAGUCCCGCAACGAGCGCAACCCUCGUUCUAUGUUGCCAGCACGUAAUGGUGGGAACUCAUGGGAUACUGCCGGGGUCAACUCGGAGGAAGGUGGGGACGACGUCAAAUCAUCAUGCCCCUUAUGUCUUGGGCUUCACGCAUGCUACAAUGGCCAGUACAAAGGGCUGCAAUACCGUAAGGUGGAGCGAAUCCCAAAAAGCUGGUCCCAGUUCGGAUUGAGGUCUGCAACUCGACCUCAUGAAGUCGGAGUCGCUAGUAAUCGCAGAUCAGCAACGCUGCGGUGAAUACGUUCCCGGGCCUUGUACACACCGCCCGUCAAGUCAUGAAAGUCGGUAACACCCGAAGCCAGUGGCCUAACCGCAAGGAUGGAGCUGUCUAA